rnacentral:rRNA from 1 species
UACAGAGGUCUCCAGCGUUGUUCGGAUUCAUUGGGCGUAAAGGGCGCGUAGGCUGCGGGGCAAGUCGGGUGUGAAAUCUCAGAGCUCAACUCUGAAACUGCACUCGAUACUGCUUUGCUUGAGGACUGGAGAGGAGACUGGAAUUCAUGGUGUAGCAGUGAAAUGCGUAGAGAUCAUGAGGAAGACCAGUGGCGAAGGCGGGUCUCUGGACAGUUCCUGACACUGAGACACGAAGGCCAGGGGAGCAAACGGG